UUUCUAGUGCACUACUUUUAACCAGAGCCCUUUGGCUAAUGGCAUCCUAUUCCCUUUCUAGUCCACUACUUUUAACCAGAGCCUAUAGGGUAGGAGUCCACUCUGUGAAAUAGGGUGCCUUUUGGAAUGCUGCCAGUGUGUUUCUAAACCAUCAAAGCUUGGGCUUGUCCCAAAUUACACCCUAUUUCCCCAGCUGGUGCACUACGUGGGGGGGGCGUUAGGGUGUGGUUUGGGACUCCUUGUGUUUUUAUAUGGAAAGGUAUAUAUUUUAAAGCUAGAUGGAUGAGUCCUGUGAGGGCUGUCAUCUUGUUCUCCAGGCAGUCCAGACAUCUUCUCCAGGAGACGCUUCAUGUCUAUUGUCCUGUUCAACUGCCUCUGGCUGUUUGUCCCAAAGGGAACCCUAUGUAGUGUAAUACGUUUGAACAGGGUUCAUAGAGUUCUGGUCAGAAGUAGUGCACUAUAUAGGGUAUAGUGUGCCCUUUGGGACAUACCUUCUUACUUAUGUCCAGCCCUAAUCCCCUACACCCUAGGUUGAACCCUAACCCCCUACACCCUAGGUUGAACCCUAACUCCUACACUCUAAGUUGAACCCUAACCCCUACACUCUAGGUUGAACCCUAACCCCUACACUCUAGGUUGAACCCUACCCCUACACUCUAGGUUGAACCCCUAACCCCCUACACUCUAGGUUGAAACCCCUACACUCUAGGUUGAAACCCCUACACUCUAGGUUGAACCCCCUAACCCCUACACUCUAGGUUGAACCCCCCCUACACUCUAGGUUGAACCCCCCCUACACUCUAGGUUGAAACCCCUACACUCUAGGUUGAACCCCCUACACUCUAGGUUGAACCCCCUACACUCUAGGUUGAAACCCCUACACUCUAGGUUGAAACCCCUACACUCUAGGUUGAAACCCCCUACACUCUAGGUUGAACCCCCUACACUCUAGGUUGAAACCCCCCUACACUCUAGGUUGAAACCCCUACACUCUAGGUUGAAACCCCUACACUCUAGGUUGAAACCCCUACACUCUAGGUUGAAACCCCUACACUCUAGGUUGAAACCCCCUACACUCUAGGUUGAAACCCCUACACUCUAGGUUGAAACCCCUACACUCUAGGUUGAAACCCCUACACUCUAGGUUGAAACCCCUACACUCUAGGUUGAAACCCCCUACACUCUAGGUUGAAACCCCUACACUCUAGGUUGAAACCCCUACACUCUAGGUUGAAACCCCUACACUCUAGGUUGAAACCCCUACACUCUAGGUUGAAACCCCUACACUCUAGGUUGAAACCCCUACACUCUAGGUUGAAACCCCCUACACUCUAGGUUGAAACCCCUACACUCUAGGUUGAAACCCCUACACUCUAGGUUGAACCCUAACCCCUACACUCUAGGUUGAACCCUAACCCCUACACUCUAGGUUGAACCCUAACCCCUACACUCUAGGUUGAACCCUAACCCCUUACACUCUAGGUUGAACCCUAACCCCCUACACUCUAGGUUGAACCCUACCCCCUACACUCUAGGUUGAAUCCUAACCCCCUACACCCUAGAUUUGGAGUGGGGGCUAGGGAUCGGUUUGGAAUUUGAAAACUGUCUGUCGAUCAUUAAUGUACUGCAGCUCUCCCCAACUUCUCCCCUCAGACACCCAGGGCCUGUUUCUGUUUCAGAUCGAAGCUGCUCCAUAGCAGAGCACAGAUCUGGGAUCAGUUUACCCCUAACCCUGUCCUGUGUCUCAAGUGACACCCUAUUCCCUAUAUAGUGCACUACUUUUCACCAGGUUUCAUAGGGCUGUGGUCAGUAGUGCGCGAUAUAGGGAAUAAGGUGUCACUCUCCGGAGAGGAAACUGUCUUAGGAUCUGUUUUUUUUUUUUUUUACUCCAAGGUUCCUGGACUGUGUGUGUGUUCUAUGUACUACGUUGUAUUUCUACAAUGAACUGAUCUACGGUGCGUGGAUCUAUGUAAAGCCAAAGAACAUUCGUAACCUGUCUGUGUCUGGACACUGUCUGUACAUCUGUCUCUGUCCGUACAGUUAGUCCCGUUGUCAAACAUCUUGUUUUAUUGUGUGUCUGUCUGUUUGGCCGAAAUUAACUUAGUUAUCCCAAUUUCCCUCAAUCGUCCGGUCUAUAAUGUGGAGUUAAAUGUAUUGGGUUUAAAAUCAACUUCUGGAGAAACAGUGCCUGAUUUUGACUUGUACUCAGAUCUGGUCGAAGAGGGUAAAUACACAAUAGGAAUAUUUCAUCCCAAAAAAAUCCAAGAUGGUGACCCAUUAUAAAUCCAAGAUGGUGACCCACUAUAAAUCCAAGAUGGUGACCCACUAUAAAUCCAAGAUGGUGACCCACUAUAAAUCCAAGAUGGUGACCCACUAUAAAUCAAGAUGGUGACCCACUCUAAAUUCAAGAUGGUGACCCACUCUAAAUUCAAGAUGGUGACCCACUAUAAAUCCAAGAUGGUGACCCACUCUAAAUUCAAGAUGGUGACCCACUCUAAAUUCAAGAUGGUGACCCACUCUAAAUCCAAGAUGGUGACCCACUCUAAAUUCAAGAUGAUGACCCACUCUAAAUUCAAGAUGGAGACCCACUCGAAAUUCAAGAUGGUGGUCCCACUAUCUUCCCCUCUGAAUUAUAACGUUUUAGAUGAGAAAAUGUUGCUUAUCUGUCCAAUAAAUCGGCAAGCAUGUUCUCAUUUUAUAAAAAAUAUAUUUUACGAUUAUACGUUGGAUUAUACCUGAUUUUAGUUGUAAACUACAUUGCCCCUUCUGAAUGGUAUUUAAUGCUGUGUUAUUGGAAGUAUUGGCGAGGGGGGUAUCCUGGGUGUGUGCCUUUUUAAUCCCAUCCUAACUCAAAUCACUGAUUGUCAUAACCUGUCAUUACAUGCUUUAGCCUCUAGGUGCUGUUGUUUUUUAAAUCACUGUCAUUUUUGUUUAUUAUUUUCAACCAACCAUUACGCUGUGUCGGUCUAGACGAGCUCUUCACUAUGUAAAUAUGUACAUUGUCAUAUUUCCUAUGUUUUUAGUCGUCAACCCGCUGCCAGCCAGCCAGUCUCUUGAGGUUUAGAAACUACAGACGACACAGAUUGCUGGAUUCACGUGUACAGUUCUUUUUAAAAAGGUACUUCGUCAAUAAAUACAUUGAAUAAAA